rnacentral:tRNA from 1 species
GGAAGAUUGGCCGAGAGGUUCAAGGCACUCGCUUGCUAAGCGAGAGCCCGCGAAAGCGGGCUCAUGGGUUCGAAUCCCUUAUCUUCCG